rnacentral:rRNA from 1 species
GAUGAACGCUGGCGGCGUGCCUAACACAUGCAAGUCGAGCGAACAGACGAGGAUCUUGCUCCUCUGACGUUAGCGGCGGACGGGUGAGUAACACGUGGAUAACCUACCUAUAAGAAUGGGAUAACUUCGGGAAACUUGAUCUAAUACCGGAUAUGAUGUUGAACCGGAUGGUUCAAUAGGGAAAGACGGUUUUGCUGUCACUAAUAGAGGGUUCCGAGCUGCAUUAGUUAGUUGGUAAGGUAACGGCUUACCAAGGCAACGAUGCGUAGCCGACCUGAGAGGGGGAUCGGCCAACCGGGAACUGAAAAAGGGUCCAAAUCCCAAGGGAAGGCAGCGGUAGGAAUUCUGCCGCAAUGGGGGAAAGCUUGACGAGGCAAGGCGGGGGGGGUAAGAAGGGUCUUCGGUUCGUAAAACUCUGUUAUUAGGAAGAAACAAAUUUGUCAGUAACUAUGCAGGUAUGAACGGAACCUAAGAAGAAGGCCCCGGCUAACUACGU